rnacentral:rRNA from 1 species
UACGGAGGGUGCAAGCGUUAUCCGGAUUCACUGGGUUUAAAGGGUGCGUAGGUGGGCAAGUAAGUCAGUGGUGAAAUCUCCGGGCUUAACCCGGAAACUGCCAUUGAUACUAUUUGUCUUGAAUACUGUGGAGGUCAGCGGAAUAUGGCAUGUAGCGGUGAAAUGCAUAGAUAUGCCAUAGAACACCAAUUGCGAAGGCAGCUGGCUAGACCUGGAUUGACGCUGAGGCACGAAAGCGUGGGGAGCGAACAGG